rnacentral:rRNA from 1 species
UUAGAGGAAGUAAAAGUCGUAACAAGGUUUCCGUAGGUGAACCUGCGGAAGGAUCAUUAAUGAAACUCUGACUGAGGUUGUAGCUGGCCCUUCGCGGGGCAUGUGCACGCCUCUUUCACAAUCCACACACACCUGUGCACCUCUGCGUGAGUCUCGGGAAACCGGUCGGGUGGCAACGCCCUUCUGUCAGUACCGGGCUCGCGUCCUUUUCACAAACUCCAUGUAUGUCUUUAAGAAUGUCUACUCGAUGUAAUAAAACGCAUCUAAUACAACUUUCAACAACGGAUCUCUUGGCUCUCGCAUCGAUGAAGAACGCAGCGAAAUGCGAUAAGUAAUGUGAAUUGCAGAAUUCAGUGAAUCAUCGAAUCUUUGAACGCACCUUGCGCCCUUUGGUAUUCCGAAGGGCACACCUGUUUGAGUGUCGUGAACUUCUCAACCCUCCUCACUUUUGUGGCGGCUGGGCUUGGACUUGGAGGCUUUGCCGGACCGUUCGUGUUCGGCUCCUCUCAAAUGCAUUAGUACGUCUUGUUGCGACGUGCCCUCGGUGUGAUAAUUAUCUACGCUGUGGUGUGCUUGCUUCUGGUGAGACGUGCUUCAAACCGUCCGAAAGGACACUUCAUCGAAACUUGACCUCAAAUCAGGUGGGACUACCCGCUGAACUUAAGCAUAUCAAUAA